GAUGAACGCUAGCGACAGGCCUAACACAUGCAAGUCGCGGGGCAGCAUGGAUGUCCUUUCGGGGACAUCUGAUGGCGACCGGCGUACGGGUGAGUAACGCGUAUCCAACCUGCCCUUUACAACGGGACAGCCCGUCGAAAGGCGGAUUAAUACCGUAUGUUGUCAUGUUGAUGCAUAUUUUCAUGACCAAAGGCUUCGGCCGGUAAAGGAUGGGGAUGCGUCUGAUUAGCUUGCCGGCGGGGUAACGGCCCACCGGGGCGACGAUCAGUAGGGGUUCUGAGAGGAAGGUCCCCCACAUUGGAACUGAGACACGGUCCAA
rnacentral:rRNA from 1 species